CCGCCACCACCCCCUCCCCAAGCAGCCAUGUACAGCAGGGCGGCGCCCACGCGCCUGGCCUAUGUAGGUCUCGGCCUCCCUCCUCCCUUCGUCCAAGGCCAGGAGCUCCCCCUCCCCGACCCGAUCUGGUGGAGAGAGGGCCAGGCCUUGCCACUCCGGUGGUCGCUGUGGCCAGAUCUGUCCGGGGUAGUCGCCGUAGAGCCUCUAUGGCGGCGGAGUAGCAGCAGCCCGACAGAAGGUGGGUGCCAGAUCGUCGUCCAGCAGCUCGCCGUCGGAGCUUCUCACUACAGGCGAUGGAGGCCGGUGCUACUCGGUCUAUCUAUGAUGUAGGGAUGAUGCUGCGGAUGGGAUGGGAAGAUGUGUGUGUGUGUGUGCUAGCUGCUUCACAUACGACUCAGAGAAAGAAUUGCUUUGCAGGUUGCCAACAUCACGAAUUUCAUACUUAUGGAGUGGAGCCACCAAACAAUUUAUGAGAUUUCCGCCAUGGACGCCGCCUCGCUCAUGGGCUCCUCCUCCGCCGACGCGCGCACCGACGGGGAGCACCGGAUGGGCAUCACCAUCAUGGGCGUCUGCUACGACGGCGGCGUCCUCGCCGCUGACACUCAGGACCAGCACCGAGAGGUUCCACGACUUCGGUUUGGCUAUGAUCAAAAUUGGAGGAGAGCCCGAUGCAUUGGAGAGCAUCAUCCGCGAGUUCCACAGGAUCGAAUUGAGGAGGCAUUAUAACCUGGCAUCAUUUGGAUGACUUUGUCAGUAGGAAGAAUGGCUAACAUGCCUGUUAAAGCUAGAUAAACGCGUAUUGAAGGAACUGGGGUAUGUCCGCCAUGUUGAACACCCUCACAAUGACGGGUACCAUACAAUGUUAGCGAGAACAGUGAUUGGGGGAUUGAUAUUUUCGAAGUAAAGAGGUGCUUGGAGGAGGCACGCGUCGCAGGUUUGACUGUUUGGGCUAUGGUGAUCAUAAACCCCGGAUAACCGACGGAACAGCUUUGCUGUAGGUACUUUCUGUGACCAACCAGGAGGAGAUAGUAGAAUUUUGUCGAAAAAAAGGUUUGGUUAUGCUUGCCGAUGAAGUUUGCACUUGGUGAACUGCGGUAGUUUUGUGACGCGGACGCGUGUGUAGACAUCCUACAUUUGUAUAAAUGCGUUUACAGGUAUACCAAGACAAGCUCUAUAUGGAGGACAUGAAGUUCAAUUCUUUCAGGAAAGUUGCCAGAUCACUUGGGUAUGACGAGAAUGGUAUAUCCAUAGUGUCAUUUCAUUGGGGGGGUACUCUGGAGUAUGUGGCAGAAGGGGAAGCUACUUGUUGAUAUGUAAAAUUCCCUUCACGACUCGUUUAGGAAUAACAGAGUUUUGGAGAUGAUGUGAUGGGUGAGAUUCGCAAGGUGGCUUCUGUGACUCUUUGCCCCAACAUAAAUGGUGACUUGCGAUGGAUCCACCGAAGUAUAGAUCUGCGAUUGACAUUUUUAUUGGACCACUGGGUGAGCAUUUGCAACAAAGAGCCAGGGAGUAAGCUGGGAGCGGACAAACAUAAUGCCCUGAACAUGAGUUUGUCCUUGCAUAAUUAUCCAUGUCUGAUGGUAGGAAGAGACAGGAUCAGAUCGCUCACCAGUGAUGAAGACGUGGUAGUACCGUAGUAGGGUGUGGUAGAUGAACAUGUCUUUAUUUUCUGAAUCGCUUAAUAUUAUAUGAUAUUGUACUGACAAGUAGGAGGUGAUUGCUGAUGGGUGAUUCUAGAUUCUUGAGUGAAUACUAGCUACCAUGUUAUCCUAAGUGCUGUCAACUAUUCAAUUACAAAUAAAAACUCAAGAACGUA